GGAUUCGGCUUACGGGGGGCAGCAGGCGCGAAACCUUUACAAUGCACGCAAGUGUGAUAAGGGGACCCUGAGUGCCUAUCUCACGAUAGGCUUUUGCCAAGAGUAAAUAUCUUGGCGAAUAAGUGGUGGGCAAGACUGGUGCCAGCAGCCGCGGUAACACCAGCGCCACGAAUGGCAAUCAAGAUUAUUGGGCCUAAAGCGUCCGUAGCCUGCUUGAUCCGUCUUUUGUGAAAUCGUUGUGCUCAACACAACGACGUGCAGAAGAUACCAUCAAGCUUGGAACCGGGAUGGGUCAGAGGUAUUCUGGGGGGAGCGGUAAAAUGCUAUAAUCCCCGGAGGACCACCUGUGGCGAAGGCGCCUGACUAGAACGGUUUCGACGGUGAGGGACGAGAGCCAGGGGAGCAAACCGGAUUAGAUACGAGUAGUUAUGUCUGAUUUCUAAGAGUUAAUUGUUAGAUUUGUUCAAUCUACUAAGACAAGAAAACAAAAAGAAAUCGCUACAUGAUAACCAACUCGCUAACUACCCGAGUAGUCCUGGCAGUAAACGAUGGGCACUUGGUGUUGCGGGUAUCGACCCCUGCAGUGCCGAAGCUAACGCAUUAAGUGCCCCGCCUGGGGAGUACGGUCGCAAGGCUAAACUCAA
rnacentral:rRNA from 1 species